rnacentral:lncRNA from 1 species
ACGUGGAGACUUCUGUCAGACGCAUGUUUGAUUCCAUGUGGUCUCUCUGGUUCUUUGUUGUACGAGCCUUGUAGAGUAGCUUUCCCUCCGGUUGAGUCCAAUUUCUCUAAGGAAGCCCUUGUUUUUUCCUGUGCGACGUUCUCCUCUGGCCGUUUCGUUCUGGAGAGUUGUGUGGCCCUCGCCGGUGUAACCGUCUUCCGUGCGAUCAAGGUCGUUCUAGGUGGUGUGAUUGUUGGGCAUGCGUGUUAUGAUCGGGAUUGCUUUUAUUUGCAUUUGCAUUUGCAUUUUGUUUGGUGAGUAGUCAUUAAUUGUUUAGUUUUUUGCUUUCUUUUUAUAAUAUAGUAUCAUUGACAUAGAACAAAGUAGAAAGAGUAGAAUGUUGUGAAGAGAAUUUGAAAUAUGGUAUGGAGAUAAUGGUUUACAUAUUUUAUCCAGAAAAUUGGUUAUAAUGAUUUUUACUUAUUUCUGUUCAUGUUCAUGAGUUGUUGGACCAAAGCUUUGUGCAUUGAUGCCUGGACACAGAAAAAUUAGCGAGGCUGAUUUAAUUGAAAUUGAGAAUUACAUAACAAUUGGCAUUAGGCCUCCUCAAAUAUAUGUUGCUUUUGCAAACACUUCCGGUGGCUACGAGAAUGUACGAUUUGUGAGAAAAGACCUAUGUAAUCAAGUUCACAGAAUCUGCCGUGGGUACAAGUUAGAUGUUGAAGGUGCAUUUAAAUUCUUCAAGGAGUUGUAUGUAACUGAUCUGAUGUUGUAUGUUUCGUACAGGUUGAUGAUGAUAACAAACUCCAACAUCUAUUUUAGUAUGACAUCGAGAGCCAAAUGAAAUAUCAGGUACUCGGUGAUGUGCUAGUAUUUGAUGCUACAUAUAAGAACAAGUAUCUUUGUCCACUUGUGGUGUUAUCUAGAGUUAAUCAUCAUAAUCAAACACUAGUAAUAAAUGAAUCUGAAGAAAUUUAUGUGUGGUUGAUGGAGCAAUUCUCGGAUGCAAUGAAGGGGAGAGCUGCAUGUUCGGAGAUCACAUAUGGUGAUCUUGCAAUGAGGAAUGCUACCGAUGUGUCUUUCCAAAUGUACAUCACCGGCUGUGAGCAUGCCAUUUGUUGCGAAAUGCACAAAGCAAUUUGAACAACAAUGACAUUCUGCCAUAUUUGAAAAGAGUAAUGUUAUGUUAUCUUGAAGUUAGUGAUUUUGAACUAAAUGGAAUGACAUGGUUAGAACAUUUGGGUUGCAGGAGAAUAAUUGGGUGGCAGAAUUAUAUAAGAAAAGGAACAUGUGGUCUCCAGCUCACAACCAUGGAAAUUUCUUUGCAGGUAUUUGGACUACAUCAAUGUGAAGCCUUUCAUUCACCUUGGGAAAUAUGUUGAUUAUAGGAGUACUUUGACUAAUUUUGUGCAGCAAUUUCAAAGGUUUUUAACUUAUUUCGCUUCCACGAGGUUGAAGUUGAUUAUGACUCUAAAGUUGGGAGUUUGGGUUUAGAGAUUGAUUUUCAUGCAAUUAAGAGGUCUGGUGCUGAGGUCAUCACUAAGGAGUUGUUUAUGGCAUUUCAAAGUAAUCUUAAGACAAUGAUGUUAAGGGUUGAUGAAUGUCAAGAAAUGGGUAUGUCAUGUGUUUAUACAGUUGAGGUAUCGCUCGUUCGCUAUGUGGCAUGUUUCAUACUGCCCUUCAAGUGGAUUUAAAUGUUCUUGCCAAUGAAUGCAAUCAAUUGGUAUACCAUGUGGCCGCAUUUUAGGGGUACUUAUAUUCUUAGAUUUCAAUGACUUACUGAUACGGAACCAGACUCAACAGCCACAAAGACAAAAAGGGAGGUGCAAAUAGAGGACAAACCCAAAAGGAAGCUCACAAAACCAGCAUACCUCAGUGACUACGUAUGAAGAAACGGACAAAAGCUCAUGAUCCUUGCUAUCCUUAGUGUUGUCUGCUAUCAGGGGACAACCUAACAAAUUCCGUUAGUGUAAUAUUCCUUGGGAAUCAAUUAGUACAAUUCUAUUACUAGGAAGCACUAUAAAUAAACAAUGUAAUAAGCAAGCAAGCAAUGAAAAAUCUCGAUACUUAUUUUUUCCUUCCUUAUCGGCUUCUCCUUCUUCCUCUAUUCUGGAGGUGCUGGCCUAUUAAAUCAGCUUUAGAAUUUGAGCCUAUCAUUUGGUGCUCUCGUUGCUGUUCUCAUGGCUGAUUCUGGCAAUACCAAUAAGCACCUUGACCCGACCCCUGACCCGUCCAUUGAACCUGAUCCACCCCUGGCCCAACUCAGCCUCAAUUCCUUAGCGCUGACCAUUUGGCACCUGAGACCAUCAGAGUGGUGGGUACGAUUUCCAGCCAGGCAGUGCUCCUCCUAGUGGACGGUGGGAGCACCCACAAUUUCAUCCAGCAGCACCUCGUCACCCAACUCGGACUCCCUUUUCGCACCACUACUCCUCUUUCGGUUAUGGUGGGUAAUGGCCAACAAUUGGAGUGUUGUUGGCUUUGUGAGGCGGUCACCAUCGACCUCCAGACAGCCUCCUUCACAGUGGACCUCUAUGUCUUGCCCAUCGUCGGUGCCAAUGUCAUUUUGGGCGUUCAAUGGUUGCAAUCACUAGGUCCCGUUCUCACCAAUUAUAACCUUAACCAUGCAAUUCUUUCACCAAGGUAGCCUGGUCGAAUUGCGAGGAGAUAAGGACGCUAAAAUGGGGAUGAUGACUCCACCUCAGCUUCGACGCUUGUGCCGUAAACUCGGCAAUGCCACGUGCUUCCACGUCACCGUGGUUCCUAAGGACACAUCACCUACACCUACUACUGAUUUCUCCCCUGAGUUACGAGCUCUACUCACUAAGUUUAGCUCUCUAUUUCAGAAUCCACAAUCCUUGCCGCUGGCACGAGACAUCGACCACAACAUACACCUCCUUCCGUAGUCAACGUGCGUCCACACAGGUACCCCCAUUACUAGAAGCAUGAAAUUGAACUACAGGUGGACUCCAAGCUCCAAAAAGGGCUGAUACAACCCAACACCAACCCGUUCUCUUCACUGGUGCUGUUGGUGAAGAAACACGACGGCUCAUGGAGGUUUUGUGUAGAUUACCGAGCCCUGAAUGCCCUCAUCGUUAAGAAUCAAUUCUCGAUUCCCACAAUUGACGAGCUCUUGGAUGAACUCGAUGAUGCGCGUUGCUUCUCAAAGCUAGAUCUGUUACAAGGCUACCACCAGAUUCGCAUGCAUGCGGCGGACACUCCCAAAACAGCUUUCAGAACACACCAUGGCCAUUACGAAUUCAAAGUAAUGCCAUUUGGGUUGUGUAAUGCGUCGUCAUCGUUCCAAGCAACAAUGAAUAUGAUCUUCUGACCGUACCUUCGACAAUUCAUCAUCGUCUUUUUCAAUGACAUUCUCAUCUAUAACGGCUCUCCUGAGGAUCAUCUUCACCAUCUAGCAACGACAUUUCAGAUGCUACUUGAUAACCAAUUCGUUUUAAAAUUCUCUAAAUGUUUAUUUGCUCAAUCCCAGGUUGAAUACCUCGGUCACCUGGUCUCGCAUAAAGGGGUUGAACUAGUUGCUUCCAAAAUUGUUGCGAUUCAACAAUGACCCACUUCAUGUUCCAUUAAAGCCCUUCGAAGUUUUCUGGGCCUCGCUGGGUUCUAUCGCCGCUUUAUCUGUGGUUAUGCCACCAUUGCCACACCCAUGGUCAAGGCUACCACCAUAGAGCCCUUCCAGUGGUCACCUUAUGCCCAAGUAGCUUUCGAUACACUGAAGCAAGCUUUAUCCACGGUGUCAGUCUUAACCUUACCAGACUUCAAGCUCCCAUUCACCGUUGAGACGAAUGCAUCAGGUAUUGGCAUGGGUGUCGUCCUUUCACAGUAGGGACACCCCAUAGUCUUCUUCAGUAAGCCCUUUAGCCCGAAACUCAUGCUUGCCUCAACCUAUGUGCGCAAGCUAGUCGCGAUCACCUUGGCGGUGAAGAAAUGACAACAUUACCUUUUGGGCACCACUUCACCAUUGUUACAGAUCAUCACAGCCUUAAGGAGUUGUUGAACCAAGUGAUUCAAACCCCGGAGCAACACAUGUAUUUAGCUCACUUGAUGGGGUAUGACUAUGAUAUUCAGUACCGCUCCGACAGCCACAACCAGGCGGCGGAUGCCCUGUCGCGCUUACCAGAGCAUGACUCCCCCAUGUUAAUGGUCCUCUCUGUCCCAUGUCUAACAUUCAUGAAAGAACUUUGCCAUCAACUGGACAAUCAUUCCGCUUACCAACACUACCUUCAAGAGGUGCUCACUUGUCCAACCAAACACCCUGGGCCUGAGGUCUCACAGGGCCUGAUUCUCAGUAAAGGUCGCAUAUGGUUACCUCGCAGCUUGCCAAUAGCUUCUACUUUACUUACGGAGCAUCACGCGACACCCACAGGGCGACACAUCGGGGUUACUAAGACCUUGGCAAGAAUCAUGAAAAAUUUCGUCUGGCCAGGGCUUCGAGAAGACGUUGCACAAUUUGUGGCCAACUGUGUCAAGUGCCAGGUAACCAAGUAUGAAGCUAAGAAGAUGGUGGGCCUGUUAUGUCCUCUUCCCGUGCCCCACAGACCUUGGGAGGAUCUCUCCUUAGAUUUUAUUGUGGGCUUACCCUCAUAUCAAGGCAACAUUGUGUUACUGGUGGUUGUUGACCGGUUUUCCAAAGGCAUCCACCUGGGAAUGCUACCUUCGAAUUAUUCUGCUCUCAUGAUGGCAUCUCUGUUCUUGGACAUUGUUGUGAAGCUCCAUGGGCUUCCUCGGAGCUUGGUCUCCGACCGUGAUCCCUUAUUUGUCAGUCGCUUCUGGCAAGAGCUUUUUUGGGCAAGCGGCACACAACUCAGAAUGAUUUCACCAUAUCACCCUCAGAGUGAUGGCCAGACUAAGGUACUGAAUCAAAUCAUUGAACAAUAUCUUUGAGCUUUUUUUCAUCGCCGGCCACGCGCAUGGAACAAGCUUCUCUCUUGGGUUGAAUUAUCGCAUAACGCAUCUUGGAUUAGGGGCACAGGCUCGACUCCUUAUGAAAUCACUUUUGGCUGCAAGCCCUUCAAUUUUCCAGAGUAUGUUGCCGGAACUUCUAAGGUUGACGUCGUGGAAGAAAUAUUAACAGAAAGGGAGGAGAUUUUCCAGAGCAUUCGUAAGAAACUCCUGAAGGCUUAAGAAACCAUGAAGCGGCAAGCAAACAAGAAACGUUGGGACGUGCACUACCAGGAAGAUGAUUGGGUUCUGGUGAAGCUCCGGCCCCAUCGACAAACUUCGACAAAAGGGGCUCAAACAGUUGCAGGAAAAUUGGCUAUAAAAGGUAUUAUGGUCCGUUCCAGGUCCAGGAACAAGUAGGACCGGUAGCUUAUCGAUUACGUUUACUGGAACAGCUCGGAUUCACCUUGUAUUUCAUUGUUCCCUGCUCAAACCGUUUCAUGGCUCCCCGGAGAACACAGAUGUUGCAGAAUUACCAACUCAAUUUGCUAAUCACCAACCCCUUAUUUCUCCACUUGCAAUACUGGACUAUUGUCGAGCUUCACCAAGUGCACCUUGGGAGGUACUUGUGCAGUGGAAGGGGUUAUCUCCAGAUGAAACAUCCUGGGAAGAUUGGUCCCAGUUGUGCAAUGACUUUCACCUUGAGGACAACGUGAGUUUGCAAGGCCCGAGGGAUGACACAGAACAGACUCAACAUCCACAAAGACAAAAAGGGAGGUGCAAAUAUAGGACAAGCCCAAAAGGAAGCUCACAAAACCAGCAUACCUCAGUGGCUACAUAUGAAGAAACAGACAAAAGCUCAGGAUCCUUGCUUGCCUUAGUGUUGUCUGUAACAUCCCAAUUUUUCGUAAAUAAAUUUAAAAAGUUUUUUAGUAAGAAUAAAUAAAUAAAUAAAUAAAUAAAUAUAGAGCAAAUAAUAGGCUGAGUACCCUAGGUAUAAAUAGUUAUAUUAAGUCAGCUGCCUCCUUUUGACCUCAUUUUCGUUUUUCCUCUUCUCCUCUCAAAACCCUUUCUUUUUCCCGCAGCCCACCAAACCUGUCUCAGUAAAAUGACGAUCUCAAACUCGUUCACCGUUGGAUCGUCGUGAAAUUUGAGUAUCAUGUUUGCAACCCAAUUCCGAACAUUCUCACCGUUGGGAAUUUCAAAAUUUUAACUGAGCUUAGAGAAAAGCCCUUCGCAUUGUAGCAUUUUAAUUUCCCACAGAAACCCAAAACUGUCUCGGUAAAACUACGAUCCCGGUUUCGUUAGCCGUUGGAUUUUCAUGAAAUUUGGUUUCGUUGUUCGAAAUUCAAUUCCGCACGCUUCCACCGUUGGGAUUCGCGACACAAUAUUCGUGGAGGAAAAAAAAAGGAAUCGCAUGAAGACAGUACAAGUGGAAGUUUCAAUCUCUUCUCCGUCUCUCUGACGUUUGGGAAUUCUAUCGGAGCAGUCAGAUGAAUAAUUGAAAGAAUUUCAGGGAACCGCUAGAGAUGUUGCUAUCGCUGGCUGAAGACACGUGAGUCCGCUCAGAGGUAAGGGAUGCGUUAUUCACAAUUGGGGAUUAGUGAGAACAUGUGUAGGGAUCCUUAGAGGAUUAAAUUGGGGUUUUAUUUUGGGAUGUUUGUUAAAUUACAAUUUUUUCCUUUAUGAUUAUAAAUAAAAUAUUGAUGUCCUAAUGAAGAUUGCUUGAUAAAUUGUGCUCUUGAUAUUUGUAUGUUUCGACCUAUGAUUUUGAUAUAAUUGUGUAAUAUUAUUUGAGGGGUUUUAGUCCUCAUGUUGUGAUGGUCUUAUAUAUAAAUUGUUAUAUUGAGGAUAUGAAAUGAUGAUUCAAAUUGUGAGUAUGUGAUGAAUUGUAGAAUAACAUGUUGCUUUGAGAUUAUAAUAUUGUUAUUGAGAUUGAGUAUAAGUGUAAAGUUGAACAUGUGUUAAUUUGUGAGAUACGUGUAAACAUGUGAUGGUGGAUUGUCACACUAUGAGAUGUGAAAUUGUGAAUGAGUUCUAGUUGUGGAUAAGUGUGUAGUUAACACUUGAUGUCAAAUUACUUGUGUUGUAAGCUAUGAAUUGUACAAUAACCUGACCAGUGUUAUCUUGAGAAAAGCGUUGAUGCGCAGUGUUAAAGAGAAAAUGUAGGUUUCCUACUUAGGAACCAGUGUUAAAUCGUAGCGCAAUUGUGUUGAACGUGUUUAAAACACGAGUGUAAGGUCAUGGGUGUUGUAUAAUUCAUGAGCAGUGUCUGCAUGCAAAAAUUAUUUUAGGGGUUGGACCUGAAUCAGGAGGGAGAGGCCCUGACGGACUCUUCGGAGUGUAGGCCUUGGGGGUCACCGGGUUUGAGUGCUCCUUUAAGCCUAUGCUGAUCUCAUAUGGUUGGAGCAUUCUCGCAAAACAUCGUGACCCUGACUGGUCUCCCUAUGAUCUUACUUAGUGAGAGUGACCUGACAAACCCAUGGUGUGGUGUGUCUUGUUAUGUACUCUUAAGCGCCCAGGGUGGUUUUUCACUGACAUGGUACCACAUUGCAUAUAGGAUUAAGUCUUAGCAUAACUAUUGCAUAUGCUUAUUAAUUGAUGUGUUAUUAUAUCUUGAUCGAAGUGUGGGAUUCUUGUGUAAUGUGAUUGAUAAUUGAAAAGUGAAUUUUGAAUGACGAAGUGGUGAAGUUACGUGAGCUAUGUUUAAGCAAGUGGUAUCUCAUUUAUAUAAUAUGUAUAUUUAAUUGUCUUGUUUCUCUAUUAGCUAGGAAUGUGAUAACUCACUCCCUGUGUGUUGUUGUGUUUGGAUCCUGUGAUGAUCUUGAACUUGUGUUCGGGGGAGCAGAUGAAUAGGUGGAUGACUAUGAAGAACCUCAUGCUAGAGGACACGAAAACACAACGCUCUAACAGGAUGUGACAUUAGGAUAUAGGUUCUAUAUUAAUUGUAUGAAGCUUAGACGACCUUGUUGAGUCGAGAAUACUUUAUUAUUUAUUUGGACAAGUUUAAAUAUGAUGUAGAAGAAAAUGAAUGUGAGCCUUUUUCCCCUUUGAAAGACUUGUUUAAAAAAAAUGUUUUAAAAAUACUUUUAAUUAAUAUUUGAAUUUUUUUUAUUCCUUAUUAGUAUGUAUGUGAGGGGUAGAGGGUGUCACAUUUAGUGGUAUCAGAGCAGGUCGAACCUUUCGGCCAGUGUGUUAUGUGCUUACCAUAUUCUGGUGUGCACUCUGUGUGGUUACUUAUGAGUACUUUUGUUGAGCAUGCUUGAAUUUUUAUUUGUAUUUUCUCCUACAUGAUUAAAUAAGACUUAAUAAUAAUGCUUGUAUGUGCCUUGCAUCCUUAAUGUCUGCUAUACCAUAAAUCCACUUUUGAGUCAUGAGUUAUGAGACUGGCCAUCUCUAUAAUUUGCGAAGUGCAGUUGGACAUUAUGGCAAGCCAUUGGGUGAUGCAAGUAGUCUUGAUAUUGAUUGAUAAUGUGUUAACGAACCUCUAUCAUCCUGUGUGUAUGUUGUUAGUUAGCUUAUUUCUCCUUUGAUGCGUGGAUUAGUGUUGCAAGAACCUUUUGGACCAUAUAUAUAUCUUGGAUGAGUGUGUCUUUCUUGAUGUGUAAACGCAUGACUACUUAACUCCCUUAUUUUGUGUGUAGUCGUGAAUGUAGUUAUUGAAGCUUGUGAUUCCUCAAUACAUCCUUAUUAAUUGUUUAAUUCUUACUUCUUAAAUGUACGUUAUAUACUUGUUAUAGGAACCCUAUAAUUCUAAGUAUAUAUAGUUGUAGUAUGGUGUUCUGCCUUAAUUGCAUAGAUAGUAUGGUUGUUUGUGAUUUCUUGUUCUUAGUGAUGCUAAUACUUUAUAGUUGGAUGACUCAUAUCAAGUUAUAUUUCAUAAGGAAUACUCUUUUGAUCGUACCUUCUAAUUCUAGUGCAACCUAUUUUUUUGUGUUGCGUGCUUAAGUCAAAUAAAUUGAUUUCACUUGAAAGCCUGAGUAUAAUUAAUUCUUUGUGUUAUGAGACUACAUCAAACAAUUGGAUUACUGAUGUUUCUAUCACAAUCAAGUGAUUGUUAAUGUCUUCAUAUGGGUGUACAUUGUGGUCAUGUUUUUGUUUCUAGAAUUCAUUGAAAUAUUGUUGUUGAUUCUGAAUGAGUGAUCAUUUUUUUUUAUUCAAAAUUAUUAUCUCUUAAUCAAUCGAUAGUUCAUCUUAUUAUUAGUUGCUCAUCUUCCAAUCAUAUCUAGUUAAACUGCUUGAUAAUCUUUCUUGUUGUUACUUCUAUUACGAAUAAAGAGAGACUUCAUCCUUGACAAUCACGUUAAGAUGUUUUGAGAGGAAACACUUGAGUAUGCAUUAUCCUUGUUACCCAUAGACGAAAGUCAAACUUAGUAAGUCAUGUAUUUGUGUUCCUUGAGGAUAUGCUUAGUUACCACCUAAGUGCAAGAUUGAGAAUCUUAUAAGUGUAGUACCCAUAGAAACUUGUAAUCGUAGUUCGUGAGAAAUAUCUAGUAUAGAGUUGUUUGAGAACAUAGGGUAGUUGGAAAAGUUAUGAAGUAUGGCUAAGAGGUUUAAUGUGGAACCUUAAGAAGAGUGUAAGGUAGUUAGUAAGACAUUAAUUGUUAAGCAUAGAAGGAUUCAAGAGUGAGUGUUCUUGCGUAAGGUAGGUGACCUAAAAGAUUAUUGAUGAUAGUUGUAUGAUUAGCGAGAUAAAUAUUAGUUCUUUUUACCUUAAUAUGGAAAAAGUUUGUGGAUGCUUUAAGAAAUACCUUAGUACCUAUUGUGACCUCUAUGUGUACCUGGUCAUGUCAUAAUAUGAUUGAUGUACAUGUGUGUUCGUGGAAUGCGGGACAGGAUCUCCCACCCUGAGUUAGCUCUUGUUGUGGUUUUGAUGAUUAGUGUUUAGUAUGUUUCCAGUUAAGUUGAAUUAUGAUGUGUAUUAUAAGGUUGUUAUAGAUCCUUGGGACUCAUGUUUCGUGCUAAGAGUUUUGUUAUGCAUUUUAAUUAGAUGAUGUUGACCCUUAGAGUAUGUUAUUUCUAGGUGAGAGAUAACUUUAAAUCCUUCUUGGGCAGAAGUUGUUUUGAAAUGAAUGAAACCUAAGAUUAAGAUAAAAUUCUCUUAACCAGUAGUCGAACCAAAAGUUAUUUUAGUAUUCCUUGAAUUAACCUUAAUUCUAGUUGGAGAUGACUCAAGUAAGUUUAAGUUUUCGGAUGAGAUCGUUGUAAGGAGUAAGUCAUAAGUUCAUAGAAAAGUCGGUCACUGUAAACCGUUGAGUGAUAUCUUGGCCGCGCAGAUCCUUAUUGGAGUAGUAAAAUAAUUGAAACAAUUUUUUUAAGUUUAAAGGAGUGCUUGUAGAAGGACAAAUAGUGAUCAAUGUUUCUUGACAACUUAAGACUUAUGAAAAGAUUUAUCCUAUAUGUGAUUUAGAAUAGGUAACCAUGGUGUUCACCAUAAUAUUUUGGGAGACAUUACCGUUAGUUUGAUACAUUGUGAGGAUCUUUGGAGUUGAAUCUGGAAUAAAAGAGAUGGAUAAAAUUCUCAAGAAUCUUGUUGUGAGUUUAGUUUUAAACGUUAAAACUAGCUUAGUAGUUAGAGCUUGAAUAGGAAACCGAUGAUAUGACUAGUGUCCUAGUUAUAGAGUUAGAUAUUGUAAACAACAAUCGGAACCUCAAGUUUAAGUGCAAAGCUAUAAGGUGACAUGAGUAUAUAUGUGUGAAGAUUACCUUAAGGUGAACAAACUUACAGAAGUAGGGAGUAAUCUGUAUUGCUUAUCUAAUUAGCACCCAGUUAGUAUCAAGUAGGCAACCUUAGAGUUGAAUCGUUACAAUUCUUGGACCUAAGUGAGAGUUAUGAGUCAAGUAUACGAAAGUGAGAAAUAUCAUGUUGAAGGAAGAGGCUUAGACUCAAGGGUAGGCAAAUCAUGUAUUCUCGAUAGUCAUUGUGAACUAGGAUUGGUAGAGCGUGAAAGUCUCGACACUUUUCUUCUUCCUUCUAUUCUUGAACCGUCCCAUGUUAAAAAAAAAAAAGGGGCGACCAUGUGUUUAGUCGCGUUUUCUUGUGUAUAUUUGUUCGUUUCUAAUUGUUAUUCAUGUUUCUUAUGAUAUUACCCUAAUCCGAAUAGUAUGUCUUUCACAUUCUAUUAUAGUUGAGAUGUCACUCUCGUGAGAAGACUUACUUAUGAAAUACUAUCAUUGAGUAAACGAGGAUCACCGGAUUUAGUAGUUAAGUGCAGAGGAGUCUUGUGAUCGGAGUAACGGAAAAAGAGUUUCAACUAGACAUACAACUUGAUAUUGAGAAUCAUAUGCGUGAUAUCUUUUUCUCGAUCUUUCGACAAGUUUCGGGGACGAAACUUCUUUUAAGAGGGGUGGAAUUGUAACAUCCCAAUUUUUCGUAAAUAAAUUUAAAAAGUUUUUUAGUAAGAAUAAAUAAAUAAAUAUAUAGCAAAUAAUAGGCUGAGUACCCUAGGUAUAAAUAGUUAUAUUAAGUCAGCUGCCUCCUUUUGACCUCAUUUUCGUUUUUCCUCUUCUCCUCUCAAAACCCUUUCUUUUUCCCGCAGCCCACCAAACCUGUCUCAGUAAAAUGACGAUCUCAAACUCGUUCACCGUUGGAUCGUCGUGAAAUUUGAGUAUCAUGUUUGCAACCCAAUUCCGAACAUUCUCACCGUUGGGAAUUUCAAAAUCUUAACUGAGCUUAGAGAAAAGCCCUUCGCAUUGUAGCAUUUUAAUUUCCCGCAGAAACCCAAAACUGUCUCGGUAAAACUACGAUCCCGGUUUCGUUAGCCGUUGGAUUUUCAUGAAAUUUGGUUAUGUUGUUCGAAAUUCAAUUCCGCACGCUUCCACCGUUGGGAUUCGCGACACAAUAUUCGUGGAGGAAAAAAAAAGGAAUCGCAUGAAGACAGUACAAGUGGAAGUUUCAAUCUCUUCUCCGUCUCUCUGACGUUUGGGAAUUCUAUCGGAGCAGUCAGAUGAAUAAUUGAAAGAAUUUCAGGGAACCGCUAGAGAUGUUGCUAUCGCUGGCUGAAGACACGUGAGUCCGCUCAGAGGUAAGGGAUGCGUUAUUCACAAUUGGGGAUUAGUGAGAACAUGUGUGUAGGGAUCCUUAGAGGAUUAAAUUGGGGUUUUAUUUUGGGAUGUUUGUUAAAUUACAAUUUUUUCCUUUAUGAUUAUAAAUAAAAUAUUGAUGUCCUAAUGAAGAUUGCUUGAUAAAUUGUGCUCUUGAUAUUUGUAUGUUUCGACCUAUGAUUUUGAUAUAAUUGUGUAAUAUUAUUUGAGGGGUUUUAGUCCUCAUGUUGUGAUGGUCUUAUAUAUAAAUUGUUAUAUUGAGGAUAUGAAAUGAUGAUUCAAAUUGUGAGUAUGUGAUGAAUUGUAGAAUAACAUGUUGUUUUGAGAUUAUAAUAUUGUUAUUGAGAUUGAGUAUAAGUGUAAAGUUGAACAUGUGUUAAUUUGUGAGAUACGUGUAAACAUGUGAUGGUGGAUUGUCACACUAUGAGAUGUGAAAUUGUGAAUGAGUUCUAGUUGUGGAUAAGUGUGUAGUUAACACUUGAUGUGAAAUUACUUGUGUUGUAAGCUAUGAAUUGUACAAUAACCCGACCAGUGUUAUCUUGAGAAAAGCGUUGAUGUGCAGUGUUAAAGAGAAAAUGUAGGUUUCCUACUUAGGAACCAGUGUUAAAUCGUAGCGCAAUUGUGUUGAACGUGUUUAAAACACGAGUGUAAGGUCGUGGGUGUUGUAUAAUUCAUGAGCAGUGUCUGCAUGCAAAAAUUAUUUUAGGGGUUGGACCUGAAUCAGGAGGGAGAGGCCCUGACGGACUCUUCGGAGUGUAGGCCUUGGGGGUCACCGGGUUUGAGUGCUCCUUUAAGCCUAUGUUGAUCUCAUAUGGUUGGAGCAUUCUCGCAAAACAUCGUGACCCUGACUGGUCUCCCUAUGAUCUUACUUAGUGAGAGUGACCUGACAAACCCAUGGUGUGGUGUGUCUUGUUAUGUACUCCUAAGCGCCCCAGGGUGGUUUUUCACUGACAUGGUACCACAUUGCAUAUAGGAUUAAGUCUUAGCAUAACUAUUGCAUAUGCUUGCUAAUUGAUGUGUUAUUAUAUCUUGAUCGAAGUGUGGGAUUCUUGUGUAAUGUGAUUGAUAAUUGAAAAGUGAAUUUUGAAUGACGAAGUGGUGAAGUUACGUGAGCUAUGUUUAAGCAAGUGGUAUCUCAUUUAUAUAAUAUGUAUAUUUAAUUGUCUUGUUUCUCUAUUAGCUAGGAAUGUGAUAACUCACUCCCUGUGUGUUGUUGUGUUUGGAUCUUGUGAUGAUCUUGAACUUGUGUUCGGGGGAGCACAUGAAUAGGUGGAUGACUAUGAAGAACCUCAUGCUAGAGGACACGGAAACACAACGCUCUAACAGGAUGUGACAUUAAGAUAUAGGUUCUAUAUUAAUUGUAUGAAGCUUAGACGACCUUGUUGAGUCGAGAAUACUUUAUUAUUUAUUUGGACAAGUUUAAAUAUGAUGUAGAAGAAAAUAAAUGUGAG